rnacentral:lncRNA from 10 species
CCAGGUAAUAUAAAGCUCAGGCAAUAUCCGAGAUUCAGGUAUAUCCAGGUAAUAUAAAGCUCAGGCAACAACCAAGCUUCAGGUAUAUCCAGGUAAUAUAAAGCUCAGGCAAUAUCCGAGCUUCAGGUAUAUCCAGGUAAUAUAAAGCUCAGGCAAUAUCCAAGCUUCAGGUAUAUUCAGGUAACAUAAAGCUCAGGCAACAACCAAGCUUCAGAUAUAUCCAAGCAAUAUAAAGCUCAGGUAAUAUCCAAGCUUCAAGAAGCUGUGUGCUGGUUUAACUGUGCAGUGCAUGUGGUGGAGCUGGGUGCCACCCCUGAAAGGUGCUUCGCGGGGCCAGUGACUCAGCACAACAAAGACCACAGCUUUCCUGGGGGAAAGAUAAGAAGUCCAGGAGAGCUUUCUCUUCACUCUGUGUCUGCCAGGCACACUUCCGUGCAGAUGUGGAGCUAGGGUGAUGAGCUUGUCAAGGCAGAGAGAGGAGAAGUGCUCGAAUCAUUAGGCAGCACCCCAGUUCUCAUGGGUGAACAGACUUUGAUUUUACUGAGUAUAAUUCACAUAGCAUGAAAUGCACCCUUCUAAAGUGUACAUGUCAGUGGUCGUUAGUGUAGUAACAAGAUGAUGCAACUAUCACCACUACCUGACUCCAGGACAUUCUCGUCACCUCCAAAAGAAACCCCACGCCCCUCAGGUGCCACUGCUCACUCCCCCUUUUCCCUCCCUCAGCACCUGGCAACCACUUUAAUUCAUGUUCUGUCUCUGUGGAUUUGCCCAUCCUGGGCAUUUCAUUUGAGUGGGACGGUGUGGUGUGUGGACUGGGCAUUUCACAUGAACGGGACUGUGCAGUGAGUGGACUGGGCAUUUCAUAUGAAUAGGACUGUGAGGUGUGUGGACCUUUGUACGUGGCUUCUUUGUCCAAGCAUCCUGUUUCCGAGGCUCAUCGACGUUGAGUGUGGGUCAGUGCCGAUGGGAUAUCAACUGAGAGGCGCGUUUUCCUCAGGGCUCUCUGGUGUGGGCCCCUCCUGCAGUCUGGCUCUGGUGGGGGGGACGUGGCUGGGCUCCUGCUGGACACUGUGGUGCGCUGUCUGGAGGGGUUUCCAGUGGCCGUGGGGUGCUGCUGUGCACGCCAGGGAACCCGGACCCCUCCUGGCUGCAGGGACUGAGUUGUGCAUGAGCACACUGCAUAGUAAGCUGAUCAGUUGAAUUCUUGGAGUAGUCAGCUAAACUCCUUCAUACCCUAACAAUAAUAGCAAUAAUAAUUUCCCCCUCUUUAACUUAUUCCUACUGCAAAGUAGAGCUUACAUAAUAAAUGAUGUACUGUAGCCGCAAUUUCUAUUUACGGGAGUUUCAGUAAGAAUGGAGAUCAUUUUGAUUUUGGCCUACGGGGAAGGGCUCUGUGCUGAGGCGACACUGAAGGCACACGUGCUUGCUGGUUUUUACUCUCCAAACCUUGUUACAAUGCAAAAUUAAAAUUUAGAAAAAAUAGAUUUUUAAGUAUAUUAUAAAUUAUUUUAUUCUCUCUAUAUAAUUUGAGACUAAUAAAUUAUACAUAAUAAAUUAUGUAUACAAGUAUAUAUAUUUUAAUUUAAAAUAGUUUCAUUAACUUAUAUACUGAAGUUAAAUUAACUAACUUCUAUGUAUAAUCUAUUAUUAUUUGAUACACACACAUAUGGAGAGUCACACAUAGAAGUACUAGGAAUUCAGGAAAUCUUCAACUGCUAAAAUUUAAGGAUGAGAAAACUCUGGAAGCUUUAAAGCAGAAAAGUUCAGGUAUGAAACAAAAGUCAGAAACACAGAGAAACUUACAGCUCCACAAAGGCAAAAGAAGAGGAGUUCUCCAAACGUGAAUUUUUUCUUCAGAAGCC